rnacentral:pre_miRNA from 1 species
UUGUCCCCUUGAAUUCCCCUGACCACUUCUUUAGCAACCCUUAGGUUUCACUUUUAGUGAGACUUUGCAGUUAGCCCUAUUGAAGUGUUUGGGGGAACUCUAGGAGCCAU